rnacentral:rRNA from 1 species
GACAUAUCCAUCGAAGGUGUGCCCUAUCAUCUGUCGACUGUGGCAUAGACGCCCACAGUGGAUUUGACGGGUAACGGGGAAUCAGGGUUCGAUUCCGGAGAGGGAGCCUUAAAAACGGCUACCACAUCCAAGGAAGGCAGCAGGCACGCAAAUUACUCAAUGACCGAAGGUCGAGGUAGUGACGAAAAAUAACGAUACGGGACUCAUCCGAGGCCCCGUAAUCGGAAUAAGUACACUUUAAAACCUUUCCAACGAGGAUCUAUUGGAGGGCAAGUCUGGUGCCAGCAGCCGCGGUAAUUCCAGCUCCAAUAGCGUAUAUUAAAGUUGUUGCGGUUAAAAAACUCGUAGUUGGAUCUCGGCGGCUAGAGGGCGGUAUGCUUCGUAGCAUUACUGCUCUAUUAGCCGUAGUUUUGCUAGAGGUUCCUGGGUGCUCUUAAUCGAGUGUCUAGGGAUGCUAGCGGGUUUACUUUGAAAAAAUUAGAGUGCUCAAAGCAGGCUAUUACGCUUGAAUAUUCGUGCAUGGAAUAAUAGAAUAGGAAGUUGUUUCUAUUUUGUUGGUUUUCGGAAAUCGACUUAAUGAUUAAUAGGGACAGUCGGGGGCAUUUGUAUUCAAACGACAGAGGUGAAAUUCUUGGACCGUUUGAAGACAAGCUACUGCGAAAGCAUUUGCCAAGAAUGUUUUCAUUAAUCAAGAACGAAAGUUAGAGGUUCGAAGGCGAUUAGAUACCGCCCUAGUUCUAACCAUAAACGAUGCCAGCUAGCGAUCUGAGGACGUUUUUUUUGUAGACUCCUCAGGAAGCUUCCGGGAAACCAAAGCGUGUGGGUUCCGGGGGAAGUAUGGUUGCAAAGCUGAAACUUAAAGGAAUUGACGGAAGGGCACCACCAGGAGUGGAGCCUGCGGCUUAAUUUG